GUUACAGGUACGGUGACAUGGUUCCGAAAACGAUCGCGGGAAAAAUCGUUGGGGGUGUAUGCUCUCUCAGCGGUGUCCUUGUGAUCGCUUUACCGGUGCCUGUUAUCGUCAGUAAU
rfam:Melipona quadrifasciata isolate 0111107301 unplaced genomic scaffold scaffold135, whole genome shotgun sequence.